GGGAGCAAGUGGUGCCGUCAGGCUCCAGAAGAGGGCACCUUCCCAGGAGGCCCUCAGGGCCGGGGCGCAGGGUUCACCUCCCGUGGCCUCUUCACUCUCCCACAGGUCCACUGAGCAUGCUUAGGCCCACUCCAGAGAUAAGGAAGCUGGCACGCAGAGUGGAAACCAGCCUGCCCUUCGCCCAGCAAGUCCCUCGCAGGCCAAGAGCCCCGAUCUCACAUUCCCAGAAGAGUGACCUGCUGGGAAGCGCUGGGCCCACAGGAGGCCUGCAGCUCUGCAGUCAGGAUUAGCCGGACUCACAUCGCUCCUCCUCAGCCUCCUGGGGUAGGACUUUGAAGUCAAGGAACCAGGUCUCCAACCAGGCAAGGACAAAGGAGACGAUGGGAAGCAGCUGGUGGCAAAGUGGCAUCUUACCGCAAUCACCCACCAGUGGCGGAGCCGCAGCACAGCAUAGCCCAGGAGUAGCCCAGAGAAGCGGAAGAAGGCCAGGACCUGACAGGAGGGCAUCAAACCAUCAGAGGCAAGCUGCAUCCCAGCUCAGCUGCAGGGUGACCUGCCCCAGCCUGCUCUUCCAGGAUUCCCUACGUGGUUCUUGCGGAUGCCUGUGUUGGUCUGGGAGAGGAAGAACAGAGAGAACUCUGCAGGCAGGCGAGCCCCUAGGGCUGCCCCUCACCUCCAGAAUGGGGAGUCCACCGCACAUUUUCACCAGGAUCCCUGAGACUCCAAUGUCCCGGGGAUGGAAGAUGAGCAGCUGUGUGGACACUGGGAGCCAGACUGAGGCAUGACUUCUCAGAAGGGAUGGGGGUGCCAGCACCCCUGGAGAAAAGGGGGUAUGAGGUGACACCUAGGAAUGGAGCCCAGGAACCCCACUGAGGGGUAGAUUGUAGAUUGGGGCUUCUGGCCUCUGGCAGGUCAUCUGGAUUUGGGGGGACUUAUUAAAGACACUGAUAAUCAGGCCACUGAGUGUGAAUCUGAGGCUGAAUAUCAGGAAUCUUUAUAAAGCUUCCAGGAAAUCCUGAUGCUAGGAAUUCUGGGCAGCAGUCUCGAUGCUGAUAAACAUCACUGACACUUGAUGCCCCUCUGUGUCCCCACCAUGUGGUUUGACCUCAAGACCACCCAGGGCCUCACGAAAUUUGACACCUCUCCUUUGGCCUGUCUGGAAGGUCCCAGUCUGGAACCCCACCCAGCCCUCCUCAUGCUAUCCUUGGGCUCCACAGCCCCUCUCUGUGGCUCUAAGUGCCAGGCCAGGCUCCUCUGUCACAGCAUGGGGACCCACCAGGACCACCAGGAUCAGGACUCAAUAGAGUCCUGUUUCAGUCCCUGCUUUGCCAGUCUCUCUGCUGGUCACACAAUUGAACUGGGGUCCUUGUGCCCACUGGAUAACACAGUCUGCCAGAGAACUGAAAAUACACACAGUCCAAAAUACAAAGAUGAAUACGAAAAUGAAAAUUAAUAAAAUUUUCAUUAAGUAUCUGCGAAGGGAAACAUCACAGAUUCUAUGAAUAGUUAAAUCCAGGAUUCUGAAAUUUUCAUUACAUUUAAAAACAAUUUGUAGUUAGAUUCUCUUUGCAGGAAUCUCAAGCACACAUGAGGACUGCUAAGCCAUCUCACCUGACAGCCAAAUAAUCUCAAAAGGAAAAUUAUCAAAAAAUUUUUUCAGCCCUUCUCUGGUUAUAAAAUCUGGAUCGAAUGUGGGCUGUGGGCGAAUUUCACUCUUUGUUUUGUAUUAGUUUGAACCUUGGAAAGGAAGGAUUCUGAGACCUCAGAAGCUCUGCAAACGGCCCUGAACCUUGCUGGGUCUCAGUUUUUUCACUGGUAAGAUGCCCCGGGGCCCUCCACGGCAGCCACGCCAGCUCACUGAUGGUGCCAUCUUCUCUCCAGUGCACAAAGGACAGUCUGGGCCCUGCCUUUCCUUCCAGUUCAAUAUGCCCAGAAUAAAACUUGUUGUCUCUGCCCUACACCAGCCCCUUCCCCAAACUCCACUUCCAUAAGAAGGUGUUGUCAGCCGGUGUGGCAGUAUGCGCCCACCUCCCAGCGACUCCGGAGACUGAGGCAGGA